UACGAAGGGGGCAAGCGUUGUUCGGAAUUAUUGGGCGUAAAGAGCUCGUAGGCGGCUUGUUGCGUCGACUGUGAAAACCCGCGGCUUAACCGCGGGCUUGCAGUUGAUACGGGCAGGCUAGAGUUCGGUAGGGGAGACUGGAAUUCCUGGUGUAGCGGUGAAAUGCGCAGAUAUCAGGAGGAACACCGGUGGCGAAGGCGGGUCUCUGGGCCGAUACUGACGCUGAGGAGCGAAAGCGUGGGGAGCGAACAGG
rnacentral:rRNA from 1 species